rnacentral:rRNA from 1 species
GGGGGGGGCCUACACAUGCAAGUCGAGCGGAUGAAGUAAGCUUGCUUACGGAUUCAGCGGCGGACGGGUGAGUAAUGCCUAGGAAUCUGCCUGGUAGUGGGGGAUAACGUUUCGAAAGGAGCGCUAAUACCGCAUACGUCCUACGGGAGAAAGCAGGGGACCUUCGGGCCUUGCGCUAUCAGAUGAGCCUAGGUCGGAUUAGCUAGUUGGUGAGGUAAUGGCUCACCAAGGCUACGAUCCGUAACUGGUCUGAGAGGAUGAUCAGUCACACUGGAACUGAGACACGGUCCAGACUCCUACGGGAGGCAGCAGUGGGGAAUAUUGGACAAUGGGCGAAAGCCUGAUCCAGCCAUGCCGCGUGUGUGAAGAAGGUCUUCGGAUUGUAAAGCACUUUAAGUUGGGAGGAAGGGCAGUAAGCUAAUAUCUUGCUGUUUUGACGUUACCGACAGAAUAAGCACCGGCUAACUCUGUGCCAGCAGCCGCGGUAAUACAGAGGGUGCAAGCGUUAAUCGGAAUUACUGGGCGUAAAGCGCGCGUAGGUGGUUUGUUAAGUUGGAUGUGAAAGCCCCGGGCUCAACCUGGGAACUGCAUCCAAAACUGGCAAGCUAGAGUAUGGUAGAGGGUGGUGGAAUUUCCUGUGUAGCGGUGAAAUGCGUAGAUAUAGGAAGGAACACCAGUGGCGAAGGCGACCACCUGGACUGAUACUGACACUGAGGUGCGAAAGCGUGGGGAGCAAACAGGAUUAGAUACCCUGGUAGUCCACGCCGUACACGAUGUCAACUAGCCGUUGGGAGCCUUGAGCUCUUAGUGGCGCACCUAACGCAUUAAGUUGACCGCCUGGGGAGUACGGCCGCAAGGUUAAAACUCAAAUGAAUUGACGGGGGCCCGCACAACCGGUGGAACAUGUGGUUUAAUUCAAAGCAACGCGAAAAACCUUACCAGGCCUUGACAUGCAAAGAACUUUCCAGAAAUGGAUUGGUGCCUUCGGGAACUCUAACACAGGUUCUGCAUGGCUGUCGUCAGCUCCUGUCGUGAAAUUUGGGUUAAAUCCCGUAACGAGCGCAACCCUUGUCCUUAUUUACCUU